rnacentral:siRNA from 1 species
GGAAAUCACAAUCAUUGUUUACAA